rnacentral:rRNA from 1 species
AUUGAACGCUGGCGGCAGGCCUAACACAUGCAAGUCGAACGGUAACAGGAAGCAGCUUGCUGCUUUGCUGACGAGUGGCGGACGGGUGAGUAAUGUCUGGGAAACUGCCCGAUGGAGGGGGAUAACUACUGGAAACGGUAGCUAAUACCGCAUAACGUCGCAAGACCAAAGAGGGGGACCUUAGGGCCUCUUGCCAUCGGAUGUGCCCAGAUGGGAUUAGCUAGUAGGUGGGGUAACGGCUCACCUAGGCGACGAUCCCUAGCUGGUCUGAGAGGAUGACCAGCCACACUGGAACUGAGACACGGUCCAGACUCCUACGGGAGGCAGCAGUGGGGAAUAUUGCACAAUGGGCGCAAGCCUGAUGCAGCCAUGCCGCGUGUAUGAAGAAGGCCUUCGGGUUGUAAAGUACUUUCAGCGGGGAGGAAGGGAGUAAAGUUAAUACCUUUGCUCAUGGACGUUACCCGCAGAAGAAGCACCGGCGAACUCCGU